rnacentral:rRNA from 1 species
GAUGAACGCUGGCGGCGUGCCUAAUACAUGCAAGUCGAGCGAACAGACGAGGAGCUUGCUCCUCUGACGUUAGCGGCGGACGGGUGAGUAACACGUGGAUAACCUACCUAUAAGACUGGGAUAACUUCGGGAAACCGGAGCUAAUACCGGAUAAUAUAUUGAACCGCAUGGUUCAAUAGUGAAAGACGGCUUUGCUGUCACUUAUAGAUGGAUCCGCGCCGCAUUAGCUAGUUGGUAAGGUAACGGCUUACCAAGGCAACGAUGCGUAGCCGACCUGAGAGGGUGAUCGGCCACACUGGAACUGAGACACGGUCAAGACUCCUACGGGAGGCAGCAGUAGGGAAUCUUCCGCAAUGGGCGAAAGCCUGACGGAGCAACGCCGCGUGAGUGAUGAAGGUCUUCGGAUCGUAAAACUCUGUUAUUAGGGAAGAACAAAUGUGUAAGUAACUAUGCACGUCUUGACGGUACCUAAUCAGAAAGCCACGGCUAACUACGUG